AGGGGCACAUCGAGGCGGGAGACCAGCCAAGCAGAGUGUAGGAGCCGGGCUCCCCGCCGUGGGGAAGCCGGUGGAUGCCAGGAGCACGGGAUGAGCCCUGUGCGGUCGGACUGGAAUUCCAGGGUUUUCUUUUUUUGAGAUGGAGUCUUGCUCUGUCGCCCAGCCUGGACUGCAGUGGCGCGAUCUUGGCUCGCUGCAAGUUCCGCCUCCCGGGUUCACGCCAUUCUCCUGCCUCAGCCUCCUGAGUAGCUGGGACCACAGGCGCCCGCUACUACGCCCGGAUAAUUUUUUUUUUUUUUUUUUUUUUGUAUUUUUAGUGGAGACGGGAUUUCACCAUGUUGGCCAGGAUGGUCUUGAUCUCCUGACCUCGUGAUCCGCCCAUCUCGGCCUCCCAAAGUGCUGGGAUUACAGGCGUGAGCUGCCGCGCCUGGCCUGGAAUUCCAGGGUUUUCAACACACCUUGGUGGUUUUGGAAGUAAAUAAAUAUAGAUGUGAAGAAACACAGGUAACUUUCCCAAGAGCACGAGGCACACACGACACCCAGGCUGAGCCUCCAGGGCUCCAGGAGAUGGGGCCGGGCAGGGAGCGCCUGGUGCGUGGGGGCCCCGGAGGGCAGGGGCUGUGAGUGGGGACGGGCACGCGCAGGAAGCCACUGGCCUCGCCCCUGGACAUCACGCUCAGGGGAAGGCCCAGCUGCACUGAUGUAAUUGAUGCGUGCAGGGAACGUUUGAGGGGAAAGAGGUUUCACAUGGGUUCAAGCAUCUUCCCCCUCAAUGCUUAAUUACAAAAUCGGGGGCAGGUGGCUGAGUGCAGGUCGGGACCAACGCCUGAUGGGACAAGCUGGCAUCGGGCGCUGCCGGCGGCUUCGAGGAUCCCCAGCAAUUCUACGUAUUUCUACUCCAAUGCCCACGCUCCGGAGAAAGCCAGUGAGGGCGUCCCCGAAUUGCCGUCCAGAACCUUCUGCGCACCAAGGUUGUGAGAGUCCCUGAGAGGCGGGGGGGCUCUCCCAGGAGGAAGGAGCGUGAAUGCUGAGGCCCUGCACCAGGCAGGGAGCUCUGCUGCUCGUUGAUGCUGGGGGGCUGCGGUGUGGACUGGGACGGACAGCCUGCCUGCCGGAACGGACAGAAGGUGCCGAGAGCGAAGGCGGAGGGUUACCAGCUCGCUCUGAGUUCCACGUUGGAGAAUCAAAUCCCACAAAAAAUGUUUGUCCCAGAAGGUGCCGUUUGAUAGACAAGACUUAAUCCACGAACCGGACACAGCCACAGGGGCUGGCAUCAUGGAGCACCCGCGGUUCUUCCUGGAGCAUGAGGAGUCCAGCUCCCUCGGACGGUUCGAGAGCACAGGUGGAUGUAAUGCCUGGAGCUACAGCAGCUAUUUCGUAACUAUGAGGCAAUGAGCAAGGAAAGACCAAGAGAAUCACAGAAAUGCCAGGCCCGACUCAAGCUCCUGCAGCACCUCCUGAACCUCUGCCUCCAGAACACGUGUCCUGUGGGAAAACCCUGUGUGUUGACAGCGUCGUGGUCACAGAUCCUGUACUUGCAGGCACACUUCUUUCUCUCUGGGCCUUCCCCAGCGUGUAGAGCCUGUUGGACACAGGAGCACUGGCCACUGGCCUCUCCCAGCAGAGCCAUGUGCCCUUGGGCUGUGGAUAGGACCCCAGUUGAUGCUGCAGAGAACUCAGCAUUGUCAGCCGUGAAUACUUACAGCCUGCGUCAAGAUCCUUGAAUUCCAGGUUCCCGUCAGUGGUAGGAAGAUCUCCACGGCACGAUCUCUGGAAUCUGCGAGUACGUCACCUAGAAGGCCACAUCUGAGCAAAUGUGAUUAAAGUAAGGAUGUGGAGGCUGUGCAGCUUUCCUGGAUUACCCAGGUAGAGUGUAAACGCAGACUAGUCCUCACAAGAGAGCAGGGGAAGCCCCGACACAGAGGUGGCCACCUGAGGACAAGGCACGGAGAACAGGCUAGUUUGGACACCCAGGGCAUUCCAGGGUCCAUGCCUGUCCUGGGACUCCACUCCCUUGCUGGUGAGGGGUCCAGGCAUUGCCAGGAGG